rnacentral:rRNA from 1 species
CCUACGGGAGGCAGCAGUGGGGAAUAUUGCACAAUGGGGGAAACCCUGAUGCAGCGACGCCGCGUGAGGGAAGAAGUAAUUCGGUAUGUAAAGCUCUAGCAGCAGGGAAGAAAAUGACGGUACCUGAGUAAGAAGCCCCGGCUAACUACGUGCCAGCAGCCGCGGUAAUACGUAGGGGGCAAGCGUUAUCCGGAUUUACUGGGUGUAAAGGGAGCGUAGACGGCUGUGCAAGUCUGGAGUGAAAGGCGGGGGCUCAACCCCCGGACUGCUCUGGAAACUGUACGGCUGGAGUGCAGGAGAGGUAAGUGGAAUUCCUGGUGUAGCGGUGAAAUGCGUAGAUAUUAGGAGGAACACCAGUGGCGAAGGCGGCUUACUGGACUGUAACUGACGUUGAGGCUCGAAAGCGUGGGGAGCAAACAGGAUUAGAUACCCGGGUAGUC